rnacentral:rRNA from 1 species
AUUGAACGCUGGCGGCAGGCUUAACACAUGCAAGUCGAGCGGUAGCGGGAGGAAGCUUGCUUCCUCGCCGACGAGCGGCGGACGGGUGAGUAAUGUCUGGGGAUCUGCCUGAUGGAGGGGGAUAACUACUGGAAACGGUAGCUAAUACCGCAUAACGUCGCAAGACCAAAGUGGGGGACCUUCGGGCCUCAUGCCAUCAGAUGAACCCAGAUGGGAUUAGCUAGUAGGUGAGGUAAUGGCUCACCUAGGCGACGAUCCCUAGCUGGUCUGAGAGGAUGACCAGCCACACUGGAACUGAGACACGGUCCAGACUCCUACGGGAGGCAGCAGUGGGGAAUAUUGCACAAUGGGCGCAAGCCUGAUGCAGCCAUGCCGCGUGUAUGAAGAAGGCCUUCGGGUUGUAAAGUACUUUCAGUAGGGAGGAAGGUGUACGUGUUAAUAGCACGUACAAUUGACGUUACCUACAGAAGAAGCACCGGCUAACUCCGUGCCAGCAGCCGCGGUAAUACGGAGGGUGCAAGCGUUAAUCGGAAUUACUGGGCGUAAAGCGCACGCAGGCGGUUUGUUAAGUUGGAUGUGAAAUCCCCGGGCUUAACCUGGGAACUGCAUCCAAGACUGGCAAGCUAGAGUCUCGUAGAGGGAGGUAGAAUUCCAGGUGUAGCGGUGAAAUGCGUAGAGAUCUGGAGGAAUACCGGUGGCGAAGGCGGCCUCCUGGACGAAGACUGACGCUCAGGUGCGAAAGCGUGGGGGAGCAAACAGGAUUAGAUACCCUGGUAGUCCACGCUGUAAACGAUGUCGAUUUGGAGGUUGUGCCCUUGAGGCGUGGCUUCCGAAGCUAACGCGUUAAAUCGACCGCCUGGGGAGUACGGCCGCAAGGUUAAAACUCAAAUGAAUUGACGGGGGCCCGCACAAGCGGUGGAGCAUGUGGUUUAAUUCGAUGCAACGCGAAGAACCUUACCUACUCUUGACAUCCAGCGAAUCCUGUAGAGAUACGGGAGUGCCUUCGGGAACGCUGAGACAGGUGCUGCAUGGCUGUCGUCAGCUCGUGUUGUGAAAUGUUGGGUUAAGUCCCGCAACGAGCGCAACCCUUAUCCUUUGUUGCCAGCGGUUAGGCCGGGAACUCAAAGGAGACUGCCAGUGAUAAACUAGAGGAAGGUGGGGAUGACGUCAAGUCAUCAUGGCCCUUACGAGUAGGGCUACACACGUGCUACAAUGGCGUAUACAAAGAGAAGCGACCUCGCGAGAGCAAGCGGACCUCAUAAAGUACGUCGUAGUCCGGAUUGGAGUCUGCAACUCGACUCCAUGAAGUCGGAAUCGCUAGUAAUCGUGGAUCAGAAUGCCACGGUGAAUACGUUCCCGGGCCU